rnacentral:lncRNA from 1 species
AGUCGCCAUGGUGGUUGGGUUUUGUUUAGAUCAAGUUUAGCCUUCGCUACUUGCUUGUAGGCGCGCGUGCAGGAACAGCCGCCCGCUCUUUGUCUUCGGAACCCCAUUGUUGAAUAAGAUUCAGUUUGAAACCUUCAAUUCAUCUUGCAAAUUGAGUGCUUGUUUCCUCGUUCUUGCUAGUUCUUCGAUUGCUUGCAGGACGGGAGCCCUAGGGGCUGGUUGUCGCGCUCCACAAGAUCGUGACGGCUAUUGGACGUGGUGUAUCGGUUGCUAAGGCGCGGUCUUGAGGGCUGUAGUCGGGCCGUGAACGUCAUCUCCAUCCACCAAUCGAGUUAUCCCCGUCUCUCAUCAAAAGAUCGGGCAAAAACCCUAGCGGGUUCGCAUCAGUUGGUAAUCAGAGCAAGGUUCUUCGGUGAGAGACUUCUAAUCCUUUGCUGUUUUUAAUUAAUUUCCUAUAGUCCAGAAAAGCCAAAAAAAAUAUAGUAGAUUAGUUUUUCCAUAAUCCUAUUAAACCUUUGUGCCUUGGCUAGUACCGUUUUAGUUAGGGCUUGUUGAAUUUGCGUUGCUUCGGUUUGUGUCGAGUUGCUGGUCUUAGUGUCUAGUCCUUUAGAGUUUCGAGUUCUUGUCACCAUCUAUACAUAGCCCAGUAUUACCAUAUCUUCUCUCUGUCGAAUCUGUUGCGAAGUCCGAAUUGAACUAUGGUCUUGGUCCGGAUCGAGUAGAGUUCCAAUCUGAGUUCCACCAACGUGAUAAAAAAAGCAAGAUAACUCCAUACUUGUUCGGAAUACCCCUGUACUUUCGGAAAAAAGUGUGGGUAGCGAAUUGCUCUUUUGUAUUCUUUUGUUCAUAUAAUCAGUUUUUGAGGUUGCCCAAAAAAAAGAAAAAAAAAAGAAAAAAAAGAGAAAAGAUUAAAAAAAAGGGGCUGUUUUUCAGAUUGAUUUUAGGUUUGUUCCACCUUGUUUUCGGGGGUGUGCUGUGGUUUUCCUUUGUGUCCAGGCUCGCAUCUCUAGCACGGUCUAGCCUAGGACCAGCACAGUACCAUCGUCGAACGCUUAUUCAGCUCGCUUUUAUAACUAACGUGGUGCUAGUUCGUUCCUUGUUUCAGCCCACCUAUAGCUUCACAUACUCUAUAGCUUGACAGGUCUUGUGCUGCAACACCGAUACACUUCGUCCAUUGCUGUACACUUGGGCCUUGUUUAGUUCCAAAAAUUUUUGCAAAACAGGUAUUGUAGCACUUUCGUUUGUAUUUGACAAAUAUUGUCCAAUCAUGCACUAACUAGGCUCAAAAGAUUCGUCUCGUCAAUUUCGACCAAACUAUGUAAUUAGUUUUUAUUUUCGUCUAUAUUUAAUACUCCAUGCACACGUCUAAAGAUUCGAUGUGAUGGGGAAUCUGGAAAAUUUUGCAAAUUUUUUUGGAAGUAAAUAAGGCCUUGUUGGCAGACGACCCCUCCUAUCAAGCAAGGUAAGAAUUGGUAAGAACUUGUGUUACAGGUUGAGUGUGAGCGACUUGCUGUAGCUACAUCCUAGUAGUUGUAGGGCUUUUAUUUCUUCACUUGCCUUUUUUUGUUGUCUUUGUCUUUGAACCAUGCCAGGGGAAGAUGAUGGUAAUGAAACACCAAUACACCUCGCACUAAGGGCAUCAUACAACAUUUUAAAAGGAAAGUGAAGCUGCACACAGAGGGACUUGAUAACGACUUGCAGGUGACAAAUGAAAAGCUGGGGCAGUUGGAGGCUGAGCAGAUUGCCACAAACAACAAGCUCACAAGUUUGGAGGAAUCUGUUGCUAGUGUGGACAAAAGCCUUGCUGCUCUCCUAAGGCGAUUUGAUGAUUUCCACACCGAAGAUAAAGAGAAGCAUAAAGAAGAAAAGGAGGGAGAUCGAGAGCACGGUAGUCAUGAAGAUGACUACACUGGUGAUACUGAACAUGAUGAUCAAGACACUCGUGAUCGACGUCGCC